rnacentral:rRNA from 1 species
AAUAGAUACCCGGGUAGUCCACGCCGUAAACGAUGAGUGCUAAGUGUUAGAGGGUUUCCGCCCUUUAGUGCUGCAGCUAACGCAUUAAGCACUCCGCCUGGGGAGUACGGCCGCAGGGCUGAAACUCAAAGGAAUUGACGGGGGCCCGCACAAGCGGUGGAGCAUGUGGUUUAAUUCGAAGCAACGCGAAGAACCUUACCAGGUCUUGACAUCCUCUGACAACCCUAGAGAUAGGGCUUUCCCCUUCGGGGGACAGAGUGACAGGUGGUGCAUGGUUGUCGUCAGCUCGUGUCGUGAGAUGUUGGGUUAAGUCCCGCAACGAGCGCAACCCUUGAUCUUAGUUGCCAGCAUUCAGUUGGGCACUCUAAGGUGACUGCCGGUGACAAACCGGAGGAAGGUGGGGAUGACGUCAAAUCAUCAUGCCCCUUAUGACCUGGGCUACACACGUGCUACAAUGGAUGGUACAAAGGGCUGCAAACCUGCGAAGGUAAGCGAAUCCAUAAAGCCAUUCUCAGUUCGGAUUGCAGG